CCUACGGGAGGCAGCAGUGAGGAAUAUUGGUCAAUGGGCGGGAGCCUGAACCAGCCAAGUCGCGUGAAGGAAGAAGGUACUUUGUAUUGUAAACUUCUUUUGUCGGGGAACAAAGGCGGUGACGUGUCUCCGUAUGUGUGUACCCGAAGAAAAAGCAUCGGCUAACUCCGUGCCAGCAGCCGCGGUAAUACGGAGGGUGCGGGCGUUAUCCGGAUUUAUUGGGUUUAAAGGGGGCGUAGGCGGCAUUUUAAGUCUGCGGUGAAAGUCUGUGGCUCAACCAUGGAAUUGCCGUUGAAACUGGGGGGCUUGAGUAGGUGGGAGGCAGGCGGAAUGCGUGGUGUAGCGGGGAAAUGCUUAGAUAUCACGCAGAACCCCGAUUGCGAAGGCAGCCUGCCGAGCCAUGACUGACGCUGAUGCACGAAGGCGUGGGGAUCGAACAGGAUUAGAUACCCUAGUAGUC
rnacentral:rRNA from 1 species